rnacentral:ncRNA from 1 species
CUGAAAUAUAUUUGCGGCGGUUUUUCUUUAUGUUUAUAAAGUAAAUUAAAAGGGAAUUAGGUGAAAUACCUAAACUGUACCCGCAACUGUAAACUUUAAGCCUAAUUUAUUGGCUACUUGUUAUGUUCUUACGCCACUGUUUUUACGGGAAGGCUAUAACAAGAUGUAAGUCAGGAGACCUGCCAAAAAUAUUCAUUAGUU